AACGAACGCUGGCGGCGUGGUUGAUACAUGCAAGUCGAACGGGAAAGAAGUCUUCGGACUUCGAGUACAGUGGCGGACGGGUGAGUAACGUAUGAUCAAUCUGCCCUCAAGAUUAGGAUAGCCAUUCGAAAGGAUGGGUAAUACUGAAUAAGCCCACGGUCAGGCAUCUGACUGGGGGAAAAGGAUUGGGAUCUUCGGACCUUUCGCUUGAGGAUGAGAUCAUAACCUAUCAGUUAGUUGGCGGGGUAACGGCCCACCAAGACGACGACGGGUAGCCGGCCUGAGAGGGUGGACGGCCACACUGGAACUGAGACACGGUCCAGACUCCUACGGGAGGCAGCAGUGCUGAAUUAUUCGCCAAUGCGCGAAAGCGUGACGGUGCGACGCCGCGUGCGGGACGAAGGCCUUCGGGUUGUAAACCGCUGUCAGGGAUUAGAAAACCUACAUAGUUAAUAGCUGUGUAGCUGAUCAGUCCCAAAGGAAGCACAGGCUAAUCUCGUGCCAGCCGCCGCAGUAACAC
rnacentral:rRNA from 1 species